CCUACGGGUGGCAGCAGUGGGGGAUAUUGGUCAAUGGGGGAAACCCUGAACCAGCAACGCCGCGUGAGGGAAGACGGCCUUCGGGUUGUAAACCUAAGUGAUCAGGGAUGAAACAAAUGACAGUACCUGAAAAGCAAGCUCCGGCUAACUACGUGCCAGCAGCCGCGGUAAUACGUAGGGAGCAAGCGUUGUCCGGAUUUACUGGGUGUAAAGGGUGCGUAGGCGGGAACACAAGUCAGGCGUGAAAUACCGGGGCUCAACUCCGGGGCUGCGCUUGAAACUGUGUUUCUUGAGUGAAGUAGAGGCAGGCGGAAUUCCUAGUGUAGCGGUGGAAUGCGUAGAUAUUAGGAGGAACACCGAUUGCGAAGGCAGCAUACCGGCGCCCUACUGACGCUGAGGCACGAAAGCGUGGGUAUCGAACAGGAUUAGAUACCCCUGUAGUC
rnacentral:rRNA from 1 species